rnacentral:rRNA from 1 species
CCCUUAGAUUUUCUGGGCCGCACGCGUGCUACACUGAGUGGAUCAGCGGGUCAGGUUGCGCGAAAGUGUUUCCUAAUCUUGAAAUCCGCUCGUGAUGGGGAUUGACGGUUGCAAUUUUCCGUCAUGAACGAGGAAUACCUUGUAAGCGCGGGUCAUCAUCCCGCGCUGAAUACGUCCCUGCCCUUUGUACACACCGCCCGUCGCUCCUACCGAUUGAGUGGUCCGGUGAGGCUUUGGGAUCUGAGCAAAGAGAGCGUUUCGCUCGUUUUGCCCGGAAAACUCAGUCGAACCUUAUCAUUUAGAGGAAGGAGAAGUCGUAACA